GGUUGAUCCUGCCAGUCAUAUAUGCUUGUCUUAAAGAUUAAGCCAUGCAUGUCUAAGUAUAAACACUUGUACUGUGAAACUGCGAAUGGCUCAUUAUAUCAGUUAUAGUUUACUCAACACUCACUUCUACAUGGAUAACCGUGGGAAACCAGAGCUAAUACAUGCGUCAAUGGGCAGCAAUGCCCAGUAUUUAUUAGGUACAAACCAACACUCGUUGCGUUGAUUCACAGUAACUGCACGGAUCGCACGGCCUUGUGCCGGCGACAGGUUGAUCAAAUUUCUGCCCUAUCAA
rnacentral:rRNA from 1 species